rnacentral:rRNA from 1 species
UUGGGAAUAUUGGACAAUGGGGGAAACCCUGAUCCAGCAAUGCCGCGUGGGUGAUGAAGGCCUUCGGGUUGUAAAGCCCUUUUGGCGGGGACGAUGAUGACGGUACCCGCAGAAUAAGCCCCGGCUAACUUCGUGCCAGCAGCCGCGGUAAUACGAAGGGGGCUAGCGUUGUUCGGAAUUACUGGGCGUAAAGGGCGCGUAGGCGGCCGUGCAAGUCAGAUGUGAAAGCCCUGGGCUCAACCCAGGAGGUGCAUUUGAUACUGCAUGGCUAGAGUGUCGGAGAGGAUGGUGGAAUUCCCAGUGUAGAGGUGAAAUUCGUAGAUAUUGGGAAGAACACCGGUGGCGAAGGCGACCAUCUGGACGACAACUGACGCUGAGGCGCGAAAGCGUGGGGAGCAAACAGGAUUAGAUACCCUGGUAGUCCGCGCCGUAAACUAUGCGUGUUGGACGUUGGCGAGCCUAACUCGUCGGUGUCGCAGCUAACGCGUUAAACACGCCGCCUGGGGAGUACGGCCGCAAGGUUAA